rnacentral:rRNA from 1 species
GUGGGGAAUAUUGGACAAUGGGGGGAACCUUGAUCCAGCCAUGCCGCGUGUGUGAAGAAGGCCUUUUGGUUGUAAAGCACUUUAAGCGAGGAGGAGGCUACCGAGAUUAAUACUCUUGGAUAGUGGACGUUACUCGCAGAAUAAGCACCGGCUAACUCUGUGCCAGCAGCCGCGGUAAUACAGAGGGUGCAAGCGUUAAUCGGAUUUACUGGGCGUAAAGCGCGCGUAGGUGGCCAAUUAAGUCAAAUGUGAAAUCCCCGAGCUUAACUUGGGAAUUGCAUUCGAUACUGGUUGGCUAGAGUAUGGGAGAGGAUGGUAGAAUUCCAGGUGUAGCGGUGAAAUGCGUAGAGAUCUGGAGGAAUACCGAUGGCGAAGGCAGCCAUCUGGCCUAAUACUGACACUGAGGUGCGAAAGCAUGGGGAGCAAACAGGAUUAGAAACCCUUGUAGUCC